AGCGAACGCUGGCGGCAGGCCUAACACAUGCAGGUCGAACGGACCCUUCGGGGUUAGUGGCGGACGGGUGAGUAACACGUGGGAACGUGCCUUUAGGUUCGGAAUAGCUCCUGGAAACGGGUGGUAAUGCCGAAUGUGCCCUUCGGGGGAAAGAUUUAUCGCCUUUAGAGCGGCCCGCGUCUGAUUAGCUAGUUGGUGAGGUAACGGCUCACCAAGGCGACGAUCAGUAGCUGGUCUGAGAGGAUGACCAGCCACACUGGGACUGAGACACGGCCCAGACUCCUACGGGAGGCAGCAGUGGGGAAUCUUGCGCAAUGGGCGAAAGCCUGACGCAGCCAUGCCGCGUGAAUGAUGAAGGUCUUAGGAUUGUAAAAUUCUUCCACCGGGGACGAUAAUGACGGUACCCGGAGAAGAAGCCCCGGCUAACUUCGUG
rnacentral:rRNA from 1 species